rnacentral:rRNA from 1 species
AUACGGAGGAUCCGAGCGUUAUCCGGAUUUAUUGGGUUUAAAGGGUGCGCAGGCGGCCAUUUAAGUCAGCGGUUAAAUCGUGGGGCUCAACCCCAUUCUGCCGUUGAUACUGGGUGGCUUGAUUGCGGUCGAGGUUGGCGGAAUUCGUUGUGUAGCGGUGAAAUGCAUAGAUAUGACGAGGAACACCGAUUGCGUAGGCAGCUGACCAGACCGCAAAUGACGCUCAUGCACGAAAGUGCGGGGAUCGAACAGGAUUAGAUACCCUGGUAGUCCGCACAGUAAACGAUGAAUACUUGUUUUCGGCGAUAUAAUGUCGGAGGCAAAGCGAAAGCGAUAAGUAUUCCACCUGGGGAGUACGCCGGCAACGGUGAAACUUAAAGGAAUUGACGGGG